rnacentral:rRNA from 1 species
GAUGAACGCUGUCUACAGGCUUAACACAUGCAAGUCGAGGGGAAACGACGGGGAAGCUUGCUUCUCCGGGCGUCGACCGGCGCACGGGUGAGUAACGCGUAUCCAACCUGCCUCUGACUGAGGGAUAACCCGUCGAAAGUCGGCCUAAUACCUCAUUGCAUCGUCUGCGGGCAUCCAACUACGAUUAAAGAUUUCUUCGGUUAGGGAUGGGGAUGCGUCUGAUUAGCUUGUUGGCUGGGUAACGGCCCACCAAGGCUACGUUCAGUAGGGGUAACGAGAGGAAGGUCCCCCAGAUUGGAGCUGAGACACAGACCAAACACGUACGGGAGGGAGCAGUAAGGAAUAUUAGUCGAGGAACGGGGGCCUGAACCAGCCAAGUGGCGUGCAGAAGGACGGCGAUAUGAGUUGUAAACUACUUGUGAGCGAGGAAAGAGUGAGGGACGUGUCCUUCAUUGAAGGUACCGAAUGAAUAAGGACCGGCUAAUUCCGUG